GAAGAUAUGUUUUAUUCCUAACCAUCUAUAAUCCAUUCUCUAUGAAAUUCAGCCUGUCUGCCCAAAUUCCUUUGGAAAUACAUAGUUAGUCAACCAACAUAGAAACAAUCAAACUUGAAGUCCUCAACCUGGAAGAUAUGUUUUAUUCCUAACCAUCUAUAAUCCAUUCUCUAUGAAGUUCAGCCUGUCUGCCCAAAUUCCUUUGGAAAUACAUAGUUAGUCAACCAACAUAGAAACAAUCAAACUUGAAGGAUUCUCUAGUGAGAGGUUAUGGAAAUGAUCUAUGUCUACUCUUA